rnacentral:rRNA from 1 species
GAUGAACGCUGGCGGCGUGCCUAAUACAUGCAAGUCGAGCGAACAGACGAGGAGCUUGCUCCUCUGACGUUAGCGGCGGACGGGUGAGUAACACGUGGAUAACCUACCUAUAAGACUGGGAUAACUUCGGGAAACCGGAGCUAAUACCGGAUAAUAUAUUGAACCGCAUGGUUCAAUAGUGAAAGACGGUUUUGCUGUCACUUAUAGAUGGAUCCGCGCCGCAUUAGCUAGUUGGUAAGGUAACGGCUUACCAAGGCAACGAUGCGUAGCCGACCUGAGAGGGUGAUCGGCCACACUGGAACUGAGACACGGUACAGACUCCGACGGGAGGCAGCAGCAGGGAAUCUUCCGCAAUGGGCGAAAGCUUGACGGAGCAACGCCGCGUGAGUGAUGAAGGUCUUCGGAUCGUAAAACUCUGUUAUUAGGGAAGAACAAAUGUGUAAGUAACUAUGCACGCAUUGACGGUACCUAAUCAGAAAGCCACGGCUAACUACGUG